rnacentral:rRNA from 1 species
AUUGAACGCUGGCGGCACGCUUUACACAUGCAAGUCGAACGGCAGCGCGGGCUUCGGCCUGGCGGCGAGUGGCGAACGGGUGAGUAAUAUAUCGGAACGUACCCAAGAGUGGGGGAUAACGUAGCGAAAGUUACGCUAAUACCGCAUACGAUCUAAGGAUGAAAGCAGGGGAUCGCAAGACCUUGUGCUCCUGGAGCGGCCGAUAUCUGAUUAGCUAGUUGGUGGGGUAAAGGCCCACCAAGGCAACGAUCAGUAGCUGGUCUGAGAGGACGACCAGCCACACUGGAACUGAGACACGGUCCAGACUCCUACGGGAGGCAGCAGUGGGGAAUUUUGGACAAUGGGGGCAACCCUGAUCCAGCAAUGCCGCGUGAGUGAAGAAGGCCUUCGGGUUGUAAAGCUCUUUUGUCAGGGAAGAAAAGGUCGUGGCUAAUAUCCACGACUGCUGACGGUACCUGAAGAAUGAGCACCGGCUAACUACGUGCCAGCCGCCGCCGUAAGAC